rnacentral:rRNA from 1 species
GAUGAACGCUGGCGGCGUGCCUAAUACAUGCAAGUCGAGCGAACAGACGAGGAGCUUGCUCCUUUGACGUUAGCGGCGGACGGGUGAGUAACACGUGGGUAACCUACCUAUAAGACUGGGAUAACUUCGGGAAACCGGAGCUAAUACCGGAUAAUAUUUCGAACCGCAUGGUUCGAUAGUGAAAGAUGGCUCUGCUAUCACUUAUAGAUGGACCUGCGCCGUAUUAGCUAGUUGGUAAGGUAACGGCUUACCAAGGCAACGAUACGUAGCCGACCUGAGAGGGUGAUCGGCCACACUGGAACUGAGACACGGUCCAGACUCCUACGGGACGCAGCAGUAGGGAAUCUUCCGCAAUGGGCGAAAGCCUGACGGAGCAACGCCGCGUGAGUGAUGAAGGUCUUCGGAUCGUAAAACUCUGUUAUUAGGGAAGAACAAACGUGUAAGUAACUGUGCACGUCUUGACGGUACCUAAUCAGAAAGCCACGGCUAACUACGUG